AGUGAACGCUGGCGGCGUGCCUAAUACAUGCAAGUCGAACGCGAAAGUCCUUCGGGAUGAGUAAAGUGGCGCACGGGUGAGUAAUACAUGGGAACAUGCCCUUGGAUGGGGAAUAACGUUUGGAAACGAACGCUAAUACCGCAUAAUCUCGCGAGAGUAAAGGUGGCGCCGCAAGGGCUACCGUCCAAGGAUUGGCCCAUGUCCCAUUAGCUAGUUGGCGGGGUAAUGGCCCACCAAGGCAACGAUGGGUAUGUGGUCUGAGAGGAUGAUCACACACACUGGAACUGAGACACGGUCCAGACUCCUACGGGAGGCAGCAGUAGGGAAUAUUGCACAAUGGGGGAAACCCUGAUGCAGCAACGCCGCGUGAGUGAAGAAGGCCCUUGGGUUGUAAAGCUCUUUAGCGAGGGAAGAAGGUAGAUACGGUGAAUAAUCGUGUUUGCUGACGGUACCUCGAGAAUAAGCACCGGCUAAUUUCGUGCCAGCCGCCGCGGUAAUAC
rnacentral:rRNA from 1 species